CACAGACACACUCCUAGCAUUACAGUAACACACACAGAUCCACUCAUAGCAUUACAGUUAUUGUAUGCAGGGUGUAGUGUGUGAGGUAUAUUGUAUGCAGGGUGUAGUGUAUGUGUGAGUGAGGUAUAGUGUAUGCAGGGCGUGGUGUGUGUGAGGUAUAUUGUAUGCAGGGUGUAGUGUAUGUGUGAGUGAGAUAUAGUGUAUGCAGGGUGUAGUGUAUG